CAUGGAUCACUUGCGUCAACAACUCCUUGAGACUACAGUGGUCUGUUAGUAUGGUGAAGCGGUGGCCAAGCAGAUACUGACACCAUUUUUUAACAGCGGUCGUAAUCACAAAUAGUUCGCGAACAUACAUAGAAGCACCGAGCAAUUUAGAAGGGAAUGAUUUGCUGAAGUAUGCAAUAGGGUGACUAUGUUAAGAUAGAACCGCACCCAUGGCUAUACCCGAUGCGUCGGUCUCCUCCGUAAAAAGAAGUGUGAAAUCAGGCAGGUGAAUGAUUGGAGCCAAAGUGAGAACCUCCUUGAGGUGAGUGAAGGCUGACUGAGCUUCCAAAGUCCAUUCGAAUGGUUCUAUGGUCAGCAAUUUAUUCAGGGGUGCCACAAUCAUAGCGUACCUUCGAAUGAAUCUGUGAUAAAAACCUGCUAGGCCCAAGAAGCUACGCAGGGCUCCCGCAAAAUGAGGGUGAGGCCAUUGUUGAAUGUCUUGAACUUUGGUCAGCACUGGUUCGAUCCCUCGCGAUGAGACCACAUGGCCUAGGAUUUGACUUGGUUCUGGGCGAAGGUGCAUUUUGAAAGCUUCAAGACAAAUUGUUCCUCCAAAAAAACUCGAAAUUAUUUCUCCAAGUGAAGUAAAUGAUCCUCCAAUGUUGGACUUUAUAUGAGAAUGUCGUCAAAGAAGAUGAUGAUAAAAUGACAGAGAAAUGGUCAAAAAAUGGUGUUCAUCGUGGCCUGGAGUGAAGAAGGUGCGUUACACAGCCCAAAUGGCAUCACCCUAAACUCAUAGUGGCCAUGGUGUGUGCGAAAAGCAGUUUUGCAAACAUCUUCUUCAUGCAUUAGAAUCUGAUGAUAACCUUGCAACAAAUCCAAUUUAGGAAACCAACAUAAUUCUCCUAACUCAUCCAAGAGUUCAUCAAUUGUGGGGAUAGGAAAAAUGAUCCUUGAUCGUGAGUGCAUUCAACGCCCUAUAAUCAAUACAGAACCUCCAUGUGUCAUCAUGUUUAUGAAAUAGAAGAACAGGGGAGGAAAAAUGGCUCGUAUUGGGUCAAAUUUGGAUUUCAAGGGCUAGAACCUCUACAAGGAAGAAGAAUAGAAAAGGUAAAAUAUUAUAUUCAUGUCCUGCCUUAUUACAAUUGAUGAGUAUUUAUAAUGAAAAUGCAAUAACAAAAUUUGGAAUUCUAUGGUGACAAGGUCCUAACGGAAAGGUGGGAAUAUUCCUAAUGGCAGACAAGAUCAAGGAAGCUGUCUCCCCAUGCAGCCAUCUCAGCAAAAACAGUUACACAAAAUCGUUGAG
rnacentral:lncRNA from 1 species